ACGGGUGAGUAAUGCCUAGGAAUCUGCCUGGUAGUGGGGGACAACGUCUCGAAAGGGACGCUAAUACCGCAUACGUCCUACGGGAGAAAGUGGGGGAUCUUCGGACCUCACGCUAUCAGAUGAGCCUAGGUCGGAUUAGCUAGUUGGUGAGGUAAUGGCUCACCAAGGCGACGAUCCGUAACUGGUCUGAGAGGAUGAUCAGUCACACUGGAACUGAGACACGGUCCAGACUCCUACGGGAGGCAGCAGUGGGGAAUAUUGGACAAUGGGCGAAAGCCUGAUCCAGCCAUGCCGCGUGUGUGAAGAAGGUCUUCGGAUUGUAAAGCACUUUAAGUUGGGAGGAAGGGUUGUAGAUUAAUACUCUGCAAUUUUGACGUUACCGACAGAAUAAGCACCGGCUAAUUCUGUGCCAGCAGCCGCGGUAAUACAGAGGGUGCAAGCGUUAAUCGGAAUUACUGGGCGUAAAGCGCGCGUAGGUGGUUUGUUAAGUUGAAUGUGAAAUCCCCGGGCUCAACCUGGGAACUGCAUCCAAAACUGGCAAGCUAGAGUAGGGCAGAGGGUGGUGGAAUUUCCUGUGUAGCGGUG
rnacentral:rRNA from 1 species